rnacentral:rRNA from 1 species
AGAGUUUGAUCCUGGCUCAGAUUGAACGCUGGCGGCAGGCCUAACACAUGCAAGUCGAACGGUAACAUGAACUAGCUUGCUAGUUUGAUGACGAGUGGCGGACGGGUGAGUAAUGCUUGGGAAUUUGCCUUUAGGUGGGGGACAACAGUUGGAAACGACUGCUAAUACCGCAUAAUAGCUACGGCUUAAGAGGGCUUCGGCUCUCGCCUUUAGAGAGCCCAGUGGGAUAGGUAGUUGGUGAGGUAAGGCUCACCAAGCCCACGAUCCCUAGCUGG